CCUACGGGAGGCAGCAGUGGGGAAUAUUGCACAAUGGGGGAAACCCUGAUGCAGCGACGCCGCGUGAGUGAAGAAGUAUUUCGGUAUGUAAAGCUCUAUCAGCAGGGAAGAAGAAAGACGCUACCUGACUAAGAAGCCCCGGCUAACUACGUGCCAGCAGCCGCGGUAAUUCGUCGGGGGCAAGCGUUAUCCGGAUUUAAUGGGUGUAAAGGGAGCGUAUAGGGGUCAGCAAGUCUGGAGUGAAAACCCAGGGCUCAAACCUGGGACUGCUUUGGAAACUGUGGAGCUAGAGUGCUGGAGGGGUAAGUGGAAUGCGUAGUGUAGCGGUGAAAUGCAUAGAUAUUAGGAGGAACACCAGUGGCGAAGGCGGCUUACUGGACAGUAACUGACGUUGAGGCUCGAAAGCGUGGGGAGCAAACAGGAUUAGAUACCCGUGUAGUC
rnacentral:rRNA from 1 species